UGAUGCACCCUAUGUUAGAAGUUUUAAAUAAAACAGUUGUCUUAAAUUUGAAAGGUUCCAACGAGUAACAAAUAUUUAAGGGUGAAAAAGCAGAAGCAUUUUUUAAAUGUAUAUCAGAACAGGAUUUAUCUUCAAAGACUCCUUUGUUGGUUUUCAGAAAACAUUUUAAAUUACAGCUUGUAGGUAAGAUUUCCAUGCCCAUAGAAGAAAAUGUGUCAAUUUAUAGACUGCCUUAAAAUUUGUGCUGUCUGCAUUAGAGCACAAUGUCCCCUCAGUGCAAGACAGGUAACUGGCCUGCUGAGGCACAGAGUAUUCUUCUUUCCAUCUUUGAUAAAUGCACACUUUGAUGCAGUCCUUCUCCGAUAUGUAAACAUUCCAUAGGCACUCCUUGUGAAAUUGCAGCUCUGUUAAAGGACUUGGGAUAUUUUUAGACUUUUGACUCUUAAUGCAGGAAUGACACAUGACAUUCCCAAGGCAGUCUGGAAGCAAAAAAGGUUACCUGGCCUUCAUGGUAACAAAAAGCCAAGUGUGCAGUAAUGGAAUUAAUACUUUUUACCAUGUAGGAAGUCCUUUUACAAAAUUUACUAUCUCCUUAUUUGCCAAAAAUUUUCUUUGUGUAGUGUUUUACCAAAUGCCUGAAAGAGUUGCCAGUUUUGAAAGAUCCAGUUCCAUAUGUGUAGUACAAGUUUUGCAGGUAGUCUUGAUUUGUCUACAAAGAACACAGCUGUUUUUUACCCAAGUUCUGAAACCACCAAUCAGCUACUAUCAGCUUUUUGAAAGAACAUAUCACUUGCCUAGCAAAACACUAAUAAUUUACAAAAUAUAAAAAGAAAUCUAAAUGGACCAUGAAACUUGUUUUACAGUCCUUUUGAUUUUCUCUAUGACAAAGUUUUGAAAAGAUGCUUGAAAUUGAAAUAUUGCCACCUGCUGUUUCUUACAAAAAGCAGAAGCCAGGUGUGGUUGGCUAUACUAUUUAAAAUUCUGCAGGUAUAAUGGAAAUCUAUUAAUUUAGGGAAUCCAUUGUGAAGCAGGGGGGGAAAUCUCACUGCUUUUAUCUAGUAUGUUCUGUGCUUCACAGGACUUCAUAAGCAGUGCACUACUAAGAAAAACUCCAGGCUUUCUGUUGUUUUCUUCCCUUGUUCUAGUCCUUAAAUGAAAGUUUCAAAGACUUCUUAGGUGAUGUAUAGAUAAGUACCAAACAAUAAGCUGCAAAGCAAUAUUUGGAGGGAAAAAUUAAUAAUUUUGUCUGAUGAGUGAUAAUUUUACAGAAAUACAAGCACAAAAGUUCAGAGAUUUUGUGCACACAAUAAACUCCACCUCAACUGCCUGCUGCUCAAUUACUGCUUCAUUUCCUGUGCAAUCUCACAAGGGCAGCACUUCUCUUACCGUCAGCUGGAGAACACACCAGAGGAUCUGCCCCUUUAUCUACGGUACCUUUGGCAAGAUAAAAUUAACCACAUCUAGAAGCAGCACUAUUCCAGACAGAUCUUGAGGUCUUAACCUCCUUUGAAACAACGGAAUUCAGUAAGCAUUUGGCCUUAGGCAUAAGCCUAAAUGCCAUCUUGAAUAGUAAAAUAACGGGCUCUGAAGCAUUUUAUUGACUCUGACUAUACUCUUUAAUACAACUAAAUCCUCCUUUGCGAAACGUAGAUUCGUUUAAUUUACAGGUUUACGAGUCCCAUUAUUCCAGAAGGUGUAUACCCACAACAGCAGUGCUCAGUCUCCAGCUCCUAAAACGCACUUCUGGAGCAUCACAAACCAUCCCGGAGCACGCAGCAGCGCCUGCAGCGCGGUGUGGGAAGCCAGCAGCCCAGCGGCGAUGGCCAAGGGCCGCAGCGUGAUGCAGAAACCGGGCCGGGCCGGGCCACGGCAGCCAGAGCGACGGGACAGCUCCUAGCGGGGCACGGCUCCACCGCUUCGCUCGGCAGCUCUCUGCCCUUCGCUGCCGCCCGGCCCCGGGCCCGGGCCGUGUCUCGGCUCCGCCGUGCUCCGCUGCCCCGGCGCUCCCUGCUCAGCUUCAUUGCGCUCUCUUCUCUCCGGACUCCGCAGUGCCGAGAGCGCCGUCCUGGCCCCCACUUACUCCGCAGCUCUCAAGCCCGGGGAUAAUCGCCCAGCAAUUGUUUGGCAGCCUCGGCGGGGCUGCGAGAUGCCAUCCCCGGGUACUCCGGCCCGGGGGGCGUGCGGGGCCCCAUCCCAGCGCUCCGGGCCCGGGGGGUGUGCGGGGCCUUAUCCCCGGCGCUCCCGGCCGCGCCGCCCCGCAGUGCUGCGGGUGCUCAUUGGUGGAAGCCCCCCGCGGGCAGCCAAUCGGCGCGCGGCUCCUUCAGCGGGGCGCGGAGCUGAGGGAGGGCGAUGCGGGGGGAUCCGCGGGGAUCCGCGGCCGCCGGGCAGCGCCAUGGACCUGGGUGAUGGACUGAAGCUUGAAACUGAAGUGCUGGAUGGAAAGCCUAGGCUAAUUUUAGCUUCUUCUGAUAAAUCAAAGCCUGCUAUGAAGAUGGGUAAUAAAGCCAGAGCACCUAAACAGGCAUUGAGAAUAAAGCACACUGGGCUUAUCUUGAAGCCAACACAAAAUGCUUGUAUCAAGCAGGAAAAUUUAAGAAAACCAAGGAGUGAAUCAAGCUUAUCAAUGACAAAAGCUGAAAAACUGCAAGUUGAUAAACACUCCUCACAUGAAGCCACAAGUAAAGGUUACUCUUUGAUCUUCCAAAGAGAUAAGACAAACAGAUAUCCUGAUUCAGAGGAUCCUAGUAUUGUGAAAAAAACUAAACACAAACCUCAAGCCCCACAUGUAUCAGCUGAAGACUUAAAAAGUUUGGUGUGUUUAACACAAGCACAGCUUCAACAGAUUUUGAUGAUUGUUAAAGAAGGAAGAAGCAUCUCUGAGACUCAUAAUGAAAAGCAAGAGGAAGUGGCUACUAAUGAGGCAUCAGAGGAAAAUGUUAUAGCAUCACUCCAAAAAGACUGUGAAGUGUCCCCAGUUCCAGAUGAAGCAAACUCUGAUUCAGGCAGGAAACAAGAAGCACAUCUUCAGCCAGGACAGAAAGUGAUAAAGGAUUUAUGGAAACCUGCUGACUUGUUUAGUACUUUGGGUGAAAGAGAAGGGGAGAAAGCCUUAUUGGAAUUUAAAAAGACCCAAUGGAAGAAGGAAUUAGAUGAACAGGUAGCAUUGAAGAAGAAACUGAAAGAAACUUUGGAGGGAGAGGUGGGUUGUUUCUGGACAAAACUUGGCAGUAAUAAAACCCAUAAAGUGGAACCACCUGACCCAGACCAGACAGUGUUUCCAGCUGACUCAGUUCAUGGCACUGAGGAAAGCUCUGCCUGUACAGCUGCUUUAGCCACAGAGGUUGAUGGAGUUGCACUGAAUGUUCCAAGAGCUCCAGCUGGGCAGUCUUCUGAUUUCACUUCUUCUGACUUGCCAGCUGGUAGUUGUACAGCAUUGGCUUUCAGGGAAGCUGUGCCACAGGAGCAACCUUUUAGUGCUUUGAAACAUGAGCAACAGAAGAAGUGGCUUGAAGAGUUGGACAAGCAGAAGGAAGAAGCUAAAUUGCAAAAAAUAGAAGAAAAACUUAAUUUAUCAAAGGCUGAAGAGCAUGACAGAUGGGAAAUGCAUUUUGAUUCUUUUAAGAACCACUUAAGUGCUAAUGCACAACAACCCUUAAAUGGAAUGCACAGAAAGCCUGAAAGUCUUUCCCUGUCACCUGACCCCAAGGACUCGACUGCUUUCAUUCAUCGUUUGUCACCUGCUGCUUUAGGCAACCUCAUGCCCUUACAGAGGGGAACUGCAGAAAAAGCUGCUAAAAAUGGUGCUUUGGAACAAAGUCAGAGAGUCAGUUUCCUCCGUUCCAUGACGGCUCUGCUGGACCCUGCACAGAUUGAGGAAAGGGACAGGAGGAGGCAGAAGCAGUUGGAACAUCAGAAAGCAAUAAUGGCUCAGGUGGAAGAAAAACGGAAAAAAAAGCAACUGGAGGAAGAGCAGAGAAAAUGGGAAGAACAACAGGAAGAACUGCGCCUGGCACGAGAAAAAGCACAACUGCAGAAACAAUUUGAAGAAGAAAUGCUGAAACAAAAACAAAAGGAGGAACUUGUAACUCUUAAGGCCAAAGAGCUUUAUCAGACAGUGGAGAAAGCUCAGGAAUUAGCCCAGGGAUCCAAACAAGAACAGCGCAUUCCAGACUUGUCUCAGAAGGCACAUGACAUUUCAGCACUUCAGAACAAUCCUGGUGGUGGUGAUACAGGGUUUGAAAACUGUAAUUCUGGCAUUUCAGCACAAAGUACGGAUUUCCCUGAUGGUGUGGAGAGUCCCCCUGAGCAGCAGGCUUCCCCUCGGAAGGACACGGCAGUGCAGACAGAUUGUUUUAAUACUUCAGCACACACUGAGUCAGCUGAGGAAAGAACUGCACAUUGUGAAUCACCUGAUAUUUCCAUAGAAUAUAAAGAAACCUCUAACAGCAAAAAAUACCAGAAGGAAAUGCAGUAUAUGGAUAAAAAUAAACUUCCAGGAAAAGAGACUGGUGAUAUUUACAGUGACCUAUAUGAGCAAUAUGCAAGAAAAGAAAGACACAUUAAAUCUUCAGAAAAAUACAGCAAAAGACCUGACUGGAACAUAAACAAGCCUGGGAAAAGAUACAUUCCAGCCUCAGAAAGGUACCCUAAACCACUACAGAAACAGAGGGAAGAGAACAAAGUGCGCCGCCAAAUGGAGCUGCUGCAGCUGGUGGAGAGGAACAGCCCUGGGCAGCUCAGCACAAGGAGGGGGGGACACUCAGCCAGGUCUCUCUCACCUCGGGAGGAAACAGCUGUGAAGAGUAAGGGCCACAGAGGCAGAAAGGAAGAAAAAUUUCAUAAGAAUCACUUGAAUGAAGAAAGAUCUGAAUCACCACCUGUUCCAGCAGUUAGGAACAGAUUACUCCAGGUCCAGCAGAGACAGAUGCAGGCUUCUCAUUUCCUGCUGUUCAACCACCGCGGUGCAAGAGAGGACAGCCCGGCAGGCUCCCGGCAGAGGCGCUCCCCCGCUGCCGGCCCGGAGGCUGCCAGACCUCCCUCGGCGCAGUUCGUGCCCUUCCUGCGGACACGGGAGGUUUACUGCCUCGAUCCAGCGGCACCGCUGAGCCCGCCCUCCACACAGCACCCCCAGCAUCCACACCUGCACGAUUCCUACCAAAUGCCACAACAGAUUUUUAACUCAGAUCAUGUUAGAGAUCCUCUCCUAAAUCCUGAUGUAGUUACAAUCAGAGAGAGACAACAAGCAAUUCUCAAAGGAUUGUCAAAAUUACGACAGGUCACAGCAGGAAUAAGAACUAGCAACAGACUCACUCUCCUCACUGAAAUCAAAAGUCAGUGGAUAAGCCGAGCAAAGUGAAUUAUUUGUGAAAAAGAAGGGCCAAAGUUUAAGAAAGAGGAGCACACCCCCCUCACCCCAGGGCCUCCUGCAGAAGCAGAAGGAGUUGGAGAACACUCUGAUUCCCAUUGUAGCUCAAGAGAACUUCAUGCCACCGUUUUGAGAGGUGUAUAUGAGUGUUCUGAAUUCUUAAUAUGGAAAUGCACAGCACUUUGCUACUGUAAUUAAUUAUGAACCACCUCUAUCUUUUUUACGAAAAUUAAAUUAUGAGAAUUUUGAUAGACUACAGGGUGAUGUUAAACUCAUGAUGGUUUGUCUGUUUAGAAUGGUUUUCAUGCUACCUGAAGACAUGUGGCCAUUUAAUAUAAACUACCAAAAACAUGGAAGUAAACCGUUACAUGGGUUUUUGUAGAACUCUGAAUUUUGAUAAAUAAAAAGAUUUAGAUGUA